rnacentral:rRNA from 1 species
GACGGAGGAUGCAAGUGUUAUCCGGAAUCACUGGGCGUAAAGCGUCUGUAGGUGGUCAAAUAAGUCAACUGUUAAAUCUUGAGGCUCAACCUCAAAAUCGCAGUCGAAACUAUUAGACUAGAGUAUGGUAGGGGUAAAGGGAAUUUCCAGUGGAGCGGUGAAAUGCGUAGAGAUUGGAAAGAACACCGAUGGCGAAGGCACUUUACUGGGCUAUUACUAACACUCAGAGACGAAAGCUAGGGUAGCAAAUGGG